UACGGAGGGUGCAAGCGUUAUCCGGAUUCACUGGUUUAAAGGGUGCGUAGGCGGGCAUUUAAGUCAGUGGUGAAAUACCUGAGCUUAACUUGGGAACUGCCAUUGAUACUAUUUGUCUUGAAUGUCGUGGAGGUUAGCGGAAUAUGUCAUGUAGCGGUGAAAUGCUUAGAUAUGACAUAGAACACCUAUGCGAAGGCAGCUAACUACGCGAAUAUUGACGCUGAGGCACGAAAGCGUGGGGAUCAAACAGG
rnacentral:rRNA from 1 species